rnacentral:snRNA from 1 species
AUAAUAUCUGGCUGUGAUAUCUGUCACCCUCAUUGAUCGCCAAGGCUGAUUUGGCUGAUCUGGCUCCAGAAGCGGGUGUCCUCUUCCUUCCUCACCUUCAAUGUUCCAUAUGUGUUUUUCCUGAAGCUAUGGAGCAACCAUCACUGACAGAAAAGGACCCUUUCCUCAGUCAAAUAUACACAAGUAGCUGUGCUCCCCUGUUAGAACCCCCAAACAAGCUCUCAAAAAGCCAUGUGCUCCAAUACUGCCUACAGACUAAGUAACAGCUACCUCAUGUACUUGCACAUCUUUUAUAUAAAAAUCUUGGGGCCAGAACUGUUUGAGAUUUUUUUAAAUUUGA